rnacentral:tRNA from 1 species
CAAGGAAUAGUUUAAUAAAAAUUUUAAUUUUGGAGAUUAAAGAUGAGAUGGAUUCUUUUCCUUGA